UCUUUUUGAUUUUUGAAUUAUAUAACGGAUGCUCAACCUUUUGAGGGUGCUUUCAGUGGAGCAUGAAGUCUUGAAGAGGGAGAUUGGGAGACUACGAGCCUUGUGUCAGCAGCAACAACAACAGCAACAGCCGCAGCAGCAGCAGCAACCAUCUUCCAGCCAUCGCCGAACUAACAGCAGGGACCUUGAAUCCCAGUUUGCAAACCUCUCCUUGAAACAAAAGGAUGCCAAUUCUGGUCGUGAUCCUGUGACAGGUCCACUCCGCACUUAGAUAAAUAAAUUAACCAGAGAUUUGUUGUGCCACCAUUUUGCUUAGUUGGGCUACCACAUUAACCAUCAUUAUUUUCUCCUCGAGUGGGGUAAAGCCGAGUUCCUCCAGUCUCCAUCCCAUCUCUGUACCUGAUUUGCACAAUUUAUUAUUACUUUGUUUCUUGCCCCUCUUUUCGUUUGAUAAAAUUAAUAUCUUCACGUGCACCUGGUUGUCAUUGCGGGAAAAUUAUGUUUUCAGGCGAGAUGACUUACCGGAGGUGGUAACUUAAAAGAGGUUCCAUAUUUGGUCUCUUCUGUAUGUUCAGAUGAUUAUAAUUCAGGAAAUUUAUGUGCUCCACUUGUAAUCCAUUUAGAGUAUCUAAUUCGUGGAGUCGAGAUGUAGCGAAGGAUGUUUAGAGCAUGUUGGAUCUGCGGCAUUUGUAAUGGUGUUAUUCCAAAGAAAUGCUUUCUUGUAAAAUCUGUUAAAUGAAAUUCACGUCUUCUU